rnacentral:rRNA from 1 species
CGCGUAGGCGGCCUGUUAAGUCGAACGUGAAAUCCCCGGGCUCAACCCGGGAACUGCGUCCGAUACUGGCAGGCUUGAAUUCGGGAGAGGGAUGUGGAAUUCCAGGUGUAGCGGUGAAAUGCGUAGAUAUCUGGAGGAACACCGGUGGCGAAGGCGGCAUCCUGGACCGAUAUUGACGCUGAUGCGCGAAAGCCAGGGAGCAAACG